rnacentral:rRNA from 1 species
ACGGGAGGCAGCAGUGGGGAAUAUUGGACAAUGGGCGAAAGCCUGAUCCAGCGACGCCGCGUGAGUGAAGAAGUAUUUCGGUAUGUAAAGCUCUAUCAGCAGGGAAGAUAAUGACGGUACCUGACUAAGAAGCCCCGGCCAGCUACGUGCCAGCAGCCGCGGUAAUACGUAGGGGGCAAGCGCUAUCCGGAUUUACUGGGUGUAAAGGGAGCGUAGACGGUAUGGCAAGUCUGAUGUGAAAACCCAGGGCUCAACCCUGGGACUGCAUUGGAAACUGUCAAACUAGAGUGCAGGAGAGGUAAGUGGAAUUCCUAGUGUAGCGGUGAAAUGCGUAGAUAUUAGGAGGAACACCAGUGGCGAAGGCGGCUUACUGGACUGUAACUGACGUUGAGGCUCGAAAGCGUGGGGAGCAAACGGGAUUAGAUACCCUGGUA